rnacentral:rRNA from 1 species
CCUACGGGUGGCUGCAGUAGGGAAUAUUGCACAAUGGGCGCAAGCCUGAUGCAGCCAUGCCGCGUGUGUGAAGAAGGCCUUCGGGUUGUAAAGCACUUUCAGCGGGGAGGAAGGCGUUAAGGUUAAUAACCUUGGCGAUUGACGUUACCCGCAGAAGAAGCACCGGCUAACUCCGUGCCGGCAGCCGCGGUAAUACGGAGGGUGCAAGCGUUAAUCGGAAUUACUGGGCGUAAAGCGCACGCAGGCGGUCUGUCAAGUCGGAUGUGAAAUCCCCGGGCUCAACCUGGGAACUGCAUUCGAAACUGGCAGGCUAGAGUCUUGUAGAGGGGGGUAGAAUUCCAGGUGUAGCGGUGAAAUGCGUAGAGAUCUGGAGGAAUACCGGUGGCGAAGGCGGCCCCCUGGACAAAGACUGACGCUCAGGUGCGAAAGCGUGGGGAGCAAACAGGAUUAGAUACCCUAGUAGUC